rnacentral:rRNA from 1 species
GUGGGGAAUAUUGGGCAAUGGGGGAAACCCUGACCCAGCAACGCCGCGUGAGGGAAGAAGGUUUUCGGAUUGUAAACCUCUGUCCUUGGUGACGAAGGAAGUGACGGUAGCCAAGGAGGAAGCCCCGGCUAACUACGUGCCAGCAGCCGCGGUAAUACGUAGGGGGCAAGCGUUGUCCGGAAUGACUGGGCGUAAAGGGCGUGUAGGCGGCCGAUUAAGUCUGGAGUGAAAGUCCUGCUUUCAAGGUGGGAAUUGCUUUGGAGACUGGUUGGCUUGAGUGCGGAAGAGGUAAGUGGAAUUCCCAGUGUAGCGGUGAAAUGCGUAGAGAUUGGGAGGAACACCAGUGGCGAAGGCGACUUACUGGGCCGUAACUGACGCUGAGGCGCGAAAGCGUGGGGAGCGAACAGGAUUAGAAACCCGAGUAGUCC